rnacentral:rRNA from 1 species
AGGUAAGCUACUAAGAGCGAAUGGUGGAUGCCUUGACUGGUAAAGGCGAUGAAGGACGUACUAGACUGCGAUAAGCUACGGGGAGCUGUCAAGAAGCUUUGAUCCGUAGAUUUCCGAAUGGGGCAACCCAAUGUAUAGAGAUAUACAUUACCUAUAUAGGAGCGAACGAGGGGAAUUGAAACAUCUUAGUACCCUCAGGAAAAGAAAUCAAUAGAGAUUGCGUCAGUAGCGGCGAGCGAAAGCGCAAGAGGGCAAACCCAGUGCUUGCACUGGGGGUUGUAGGACUGCAAUGUGCAAGAGGUAAGUUUAGCAGAACAUUCUGGAAAGUAUAACCAUAGAGGGUGAUAGUCCCGUAUGCGAAAAACAAACCUUAGCUAGCAGUAUCCUGAGUAGGGCGGGACACGAGGAAUCCUGUCUGAAUCCGGGUCGACCACGAUCCAACCCUAAAUACUAAUACCAGAUCGAUAGUGCACAAGUACCGUGAGGGAAAGGUGAAAAGAACUGAGGUGAUCAGAGUGAAAUAGAACCUGAAACCAUUUGCUUACAAUCAUUCAGAGCCCUAUGUAGCAAUACAGGGUGAUGGACUGCCUUUUGCAUAAUGAGCCUGCGAGUUGUGGUGUCUGGCAAGGUUAAGCAAACGCGAAGCCGUAGCGAAAGCGAGUCUGAAUAGGGCGCUUAGUCAGAUGCUGCAGACCCGAAACGAAGUGAUCUAUCCAUGAGCAAGUUGAAGCUAGUGUAAGAACUAGUGGAGGACUGAACCCAUAGGCGUUGAAAAGCCCCGGGAUGACUUGUGGAUAGGGGUGAAAGGCCAAUCAAACUUCGUGAUAGCUGGUUCUCUCCGAAAUAUAUUUAGGUAUAGCGUUGUGUCGUAAUAUAAGGGGGUAGAGCACUGAAUGGGCUAGGGCAUACACCAAUGUACCAAACCCUAUCAAACUCCGAAUACCUUAUAUGUAAUCACAGCAGUCAGGCGGCGAGUGAUAAAAUCCGUCGUCAAGAGGGAAACAACCCAGACUACCAGCUAAGGUCCCUAAGUCUUACUUAAGUGGAAAACGAUGUGAAGUUACUUAAACAACCAGGAGGUUGGCUUAGAAGCAGCCAUCCUUUAAAGAAAGCGUAAUAGCUCACUGGUCUAGUGAUUUUGCGCGGAAAAUAUAACGGGGCUAAAGUAAGUACCGAAGCUGUAGACUUAGUUUACUAAGUGGUAGGAGAGCGUUCUAUUUGCGUCGAAGGUAUACCGGUAAGGAGUGCUGGAGCGAAUAGAAGUGAGCAUGCAGGCAUGAGUAGCGAUAAUUAAUGUGAGAAUCAUUAACGCCGUAAACCCAAGGUUUCCUACGCGAUGCUCGUCAUCGUAGGGUUAGUCGGGUCCUAAGUCGAGUCCGAAAGGGGUAGACGAUGGCAAAUUGGUUAAUAUUCCAAUACCAACAUUAGUGUGCGAUGGAAGGACGCUUAGGGCUAAGGGGGCUAGCGGAUGGAAGUGCUAGUCUAAGGUCGUAGGAGGUUAUACAGGCAAAUCCGUAUAACAAUACUCCGAGAACUGAAAGGCUUUUUGAAGUCUUCGGAUGGAUAGAAGAACCCCUGAUGCCGUCGAGCCAAGAAAAGUUUCUAAGUUUAGCUAAUGUUGCCCGUACUGUAAACCGACACAGGUGGGUGGGAUGAGUAUUCUAAGGCGCGUGGAAGAACUCUCUUUAAGGAACUCUGCAAAAUAGCACCGUAUCUUCGGUAUAAGGUGUGGUUAGCUUUGUAUUAGGAUUUACUCCGAAAGCAAGGAAACUUACAACAAAGAGUCCCUCCCGACUGUUUACCAAAAACACAGCACUCUGCUAACUCGUAAGAGGAUGUAUAGGGUGUGACGCCUGCCCGGUGCUCGAAGGUUAAUUGAUGGGGUUAGCAUUAGCGAAGCUCUUGAUCGAAGCCCGAGUAAACGGCGGCCGUAACUAUAACGGUCCUAAGGUAGCGAAAUUCCUUGUCGGUUAAAUACCGACCUGCAUGAAUGGCGUAACGAGAUGGGAGCUGUCUCAAAGAGGGAUCCAGUGAAAUUGUAGUGGAGGUGAAAAUUCCUCCUACCCGCGGCAAGACGGAAAGACCCCG